UACGGGGGGGGCAAGCGUUGUUCGGAAUUACUGGGCGUAAAGGGCUCGUAGGCGGCCAACUAAGUCGGACGUGAAAUCCCUCGGCUUAACCGGGGAACUGCGUCCGAUACUGGAUGGCUUGAGGUUGGGAGAGGGAUGCGGAAUUCCAGGUGUAGCGGUGAAAUGCGUAGAUAUCUGGAGGAACACCGGUGGCGAAGGCGGGUCUCUGGGCCGAUACUGACGCUGAGGAGCGAAAGCGUGGGGAGCGAACAGG
rnacentral:rRNA from 1 species